GUUGCAUGAUGAUUUUCUUCAAGAAUUCUGCAAUGCGGACAAUCUCCAGUCGUCUGUGAGAUUGCAUGUUGACUAUUCUACACUUGAUCUGACU
rnacentral:snoRNA from 1 species